rnacentral:rRNA from 1 species
CAGCAGCCACGGGAAUACGAAGGGGGCUAGCGUUGUUCGGAAUUACUGGGCGUAAAGCGCACGUAGGCGGAUAUUUAAGUCAGGGGUGAAAUCCCAGAGCUCAACUCUGGAACUGCCUUUGAUACUGGGUAUCUUGAGUAUGGAAGAGGUGAGUGGAAUUCCGAGUGUAGAGGUGAAAUUCGUAGAUAUUCGGAGGAACACCAGUGGCGAAGGCGGCUCACUGGCCCGAUACUGACGCUGAGGCACGAAAGCGUGGGGAGCAAACAGGAUUAGAUACCCCGGUAGUCCCUGUCUCUUAUAC